AACAGCACAGGCACAGAGCGCUCUCUCUGCCCCUUCCUCUUUGGUCCAUUCAAAAUCGUCUACAGGCAAACUUUAACGUCCGUCUGAAACAAACAGCAUUCUGAGGUUUACAGAAGCACCCUUCUGUAAAACUUCACUAUAAAAUAUAGACUUCCAAACUCAAAGUAUUCUUACCUGGAGUGUUUGCGUAAUCAAAUAGAAUGUUUCGCAUUUUACAGUCGCCUCCACUCGGAUUAAAGGAACCUUAAGUGACAGGCAGAGCUCCAGGAGAUAUCUACGCAUCCGGGUCUCUGUAUUUAUGCCUCUGUGCAUCUCACCUGCUCUACUUAGGGCAGAUUUUCCAUCAAAUAAAGAGUCCACCCACCUACUGUAUGCAAGAUAUGCUAUAUAGUCAUCUUAGGUGGAUUCACGGGGGCAGGAAAUAAUGAAAUGAGUCUUUUUUUUUAAAGGAAUAGUUCAUGAGUCAGACUCAUCUUAGUUCCGCCUGGCUCCCUCCCCCUCCCCCCCCUCCCAGGUUUCCACAAUGUGCUGUAUUUCCACACACAUCCUAGCUUCCUGACCCUUUCCUUCCAGCGGUGGGAGAGUCACUAAGACAAGUACAGAAGGCCUGAACUACCACUCGGAGCAACGGCGCCUCCUAGUGGCCUGGCUGAGCCUCGUUUGCCAAUUGAAUAAGGCCUGGAGUUUUUGAAGGAAGCCACUAGAGAUGAUUACCACGGCAAUGGUUGAACCAUCAGACGAAAAACCUCCGCCAGUGAGCUGAAACCAACUCUUGUAGGGCAAAGGCAGAUAGUUGUGUAGUCAUUUUCACCUCAAGGGCCAAAUGGUGUAAAUCCAUUUCUACUUGUAACCUGAAAAGGGCAUGCUGGGCAUUUGUGAGUUUUCUCACCCCAAGCUCUAUCACUGUCCCUUGUUGCACCGCAGUGAUAAAAUGUGUAUCUAGCCCCCGCCACCCCUGACCUGUUCACAGGCAGCAUUGUGCAAGAAUCAUGGGAAGAGCUGUUCUAGACAGAGGAACUCCAAGCAAGCUUAUAAUUUCUCCAACCCUCAGUUUCCCCACCUGUAAUGUGGGCACAUUUGUAGUAGGUACCUUAGGAUAGAGCUAGAUAGUGCUGUUACACCAGCACUGCUACUCUUUUCAGGCACAUGCCUGUGCCCAUUUUUCCCCAAAUCUGCAUUCUGUACUAUUAGAGUCUUUGGCUUACAAGAAAAAUGCAAAUCCUGGCGUGGUGACUCAUGCCUGUAAUGCCAGCUCUCUGGAGGCCAAGGCAGGUGGAUUGCUACAAGUUGUAGGUCAGCUUAGGCUACAUAUUGAGAUUCUGUCUUAAAAACAGAGAAAGCCAACUAUUUUAAUGAACACUGCUACUCGUGAAAUCCUCCACAGGAGUCUCUAGAACAGUCAUGGGAUAGAAUUAUGCAACAGAGAACCUCACCUCUGUACACGAUUCCUCACUCACUAUUGUACAACACAUCUGUAAUCAUAAUGCAUAGAAUUUACCGACCAUUUAACGUUCUUCAGGUCGUCAUGUCCAAAAGCAAGAGAAACACUGUAAACUAUGCUGCAGAGGGUACAGACCUAGCCCCACGCUUCACGGCUAUCCAGGAAUGAAUCUGAGCCACUACCGAUGCCCGCCGUGUGGGCGAAUUAGCCCCACACUAGAUGAAUCAACACCCAGGUGAUUUCAGGCAUAAAAAUGUCUUUCAACCUAAAGAGGCCAGAGGAGACGGCUGAGAAUGUUGAAGGAAGCAAUCCCUGGGUACACUGUGAAUAAAGCCCGCAGACCCUUCAAUAGAAAGUGGAUUUACUCUGCUAAGGAUGAAAUCCUGUAAGCCUUAAUAAUCAGGGCCCAUUUUGGUUGUUGUGAUAAAAUACGACUUGUAGAAUUCCAACAUUUUGCUGCUCCUCACAAGAAUAAUUUCAUUUAUUAAAAUCUAUAAUUAAGAAGAAAUUGUUAAACAAAUAAUCAACCACAUCAAGGCAUAGCUGGGGAGUGGUUACUCUUCCCCUUGUCAGGGGUCCCUAGCAUUGCCCGAUUUUAUCCAUAUUGCUUUCCAGGUUUUCCUAAUUUUAUUAUCUAAGAUGCUGCUUUUAUCAAAGCAGGGAAGCUAACAUUCUUCCCUGAAUAAAGAACAAGUUGAAGAAUGCACAGAA